GAUGAACGCUGGCGGCGUGCCUAAUACAUGCAAGUCGAGCGAACGGACGAGAAGCUUGCUUCUCUGAUGUUAGCGGCGGACGGGUGAGUAACACGUGGAUAACCUACCUAUAAGACUGGGAUAACUUCGGGAAACCGGAGCUAAUACCGGAUAAUAUUUUGAACCGCAUGGUUCAAAAGUGAAAGACGGUCUUGCUGUCACUUAUAGAUGGAUCCGCGCUGCAUUAGCUAGUUGGUAAGGUAACGGCUUACCAAGGCAACGAUGCAUAGCCGACCUGAGAGGGUGAUCGGCCACACUGGAACUGAGACACGGUCCAGACUCCUACGGGAGGCAGCAGUAGGGAAUCUUCCGCAAUGGGCGAAAGCCUGACGGAGCAACGCCGCGUGAGUGAUGAAGGUCUUCGGAUCGUAAAACUAUGUUAUUAGGGAAGAACAUAUGUGUAAGUAACUGUGCACAUCUUGACGGUACCUAAUCAGAAAGCCACGGCUAACUACGUGCCAGCAGCCGCGGUAAUACGUAGGUGGCAAGCGUUAUCCGGAAUUAUUGGGCGUAAAGCGCGCGUAGGCGGUUUUUUAAGUCUGAUGUGAAAGCCCACGGCUCAACCGUGGAGGGUCAUUGGAAACUGGAAAACUUGAGUGCAGAAGAGGAAAGUGGAAUUCCAUGUGUAGCGGUGAAAUGCGCAGAGAUAUGGAGGAACACCAGUGGCGAAGGCGACUUUCUGGUCUGUAACUGACGCUGAUGUGCGAAAGCGUGGGGAUCAAACAGG
rnacentral:rRNA from 1 species